rnacentral:rRNA from 1 species
UAACGAAUAUUCCGCAAUGCGCGAAAGCGUGACGGAGCGAUGCCGCGUGCAGGAUGAAGCCCCUCGGGGUGUAAACUGCUGUCAGGGUAUAGCAAACAAAUGAGCAAACCCAAAGGAAGAGACGGCUAACUCUGUGCCAGCAGCCGCGGUAAUACAGAGGUCUCGAGCGUUAAUCGGAGUCACUGGGCUUAAAGGGUGCGUAGGCGGAUCUUCAAGUGUCUUGUGAAAUCCCACGGCUCAACCGUGGAAUUGCUCGAUAGACUGGAGAUCUUGAGGUUGGUAGGGGUCGCUGGAACUCUAGGUGGAGCGGUGAAAUGCGUAGAUAUCUAGAGGAACGCCGAAGGUGAAGACAAGCGACUGGGCCAAAUCUGACGCUGAGGCACGAAAGCGUGGGGAGCAAACGGGAUUAGAUACCCCCGUAGUCC